AUGGGGGUUGCCGGCAGUGGCUCCGGCGGCCGGCGAGAUCGAGGACCGCCGGUUGGGAGCUCCGGCUCGAAGAGGAAGACGGCAUGGGACGGCGGCGAUCCAGAUCAUGGUGGCGGCGCGGCCUAUGGUGGGCUGCCAAGUGGCGGUGGCUGGGAGGUUAAGGAAGGAAAAUCCUACUCGCCGCUGGUUGCGGCAAGGUGUCGAUGCUUCGCACAGGAAGAGAUAAACGAUUCUUGUACCGCCUCAACUGAGCUGAUUCAGUUGGAUCCACCCGAGCUAAGCUUCCCUUGCCUGAACAAGAAUUCGCUCUCCUCGGUUGAUAUAGUCAACAUUACAGAUUGCUACGUUGGUUUCAGUAUUUUUAGCACCAGGGAGUUUUCUGCGUGCUACGAGACAGAGCCCAGUCGAGGAAUUCUGCCACCAAGGUCCACUCAGAGAAUGCUUGUACAACAUGAACCAGAAGAAGACAUGCGGUGCAUGAAAAACAUAUUUGUGUGGAACAUGAUUGUGGAUCAAGGUGUCGAAUCCAGCAUCUUGACGUAUCACAUUAAUCGGAAAGACAGUAAGGAGCUGCCCUUCAUUUUUAACAAUAAUAUAAGCCCAUGUACCUCAACCUCAAACGAGCUGAUCAGAUUCGACCAUCCUGGGCUCCCCCUCCCCUUUUCGCAAAACCAGACAUGGUUGUUCUCAAUUAACAUGGUCAACGUUACCGAUUACCAUGUUGGUUUUCGUCCAUUUAUGGCUGAUGAAGAAGAUGUGGCUGUGUACUACCGGACAGAUGCUGUAUUCGGAAUUUUGGCAACACGAUCUGCUCAAAGACUCCUCAUCGCAAGGCAAAUAGAUGAAGAAGAACCACAAGAUACACCGUACAAGGACGACAACCUCUUUAUCUGGAAUGCCAUUGUCAGUGAAUGCGUCAAAGUCAGCGACCUUGAUUGUUCCAUGUCUCUCAAGCCAGAAGAGAGUCUGGAGUUGCCCAUAACUAUUAACAAGUUAACUUCACCUACAUCAGUUGAGCUGAUCAAGUUUGAACCCCUUGAGGUCUGCUUCCCCUUCCUGCCAAGCAAACGUCUGUCAUCUUCAAUUAAGAUAGUCAACAUUACAGAUUAUCACAUUGGUUUCAAGACACAAGUGGGGGAAACAAAUGUGGCGUUGUACAUCACGGAGCCACAAUGUGGAAUUCUGCCACCGUGGUCAACACAAGAACUGUUGGUAACAAGGGUCGCCAAUGAAGAGGCACCGGAACUGGAAGACAUGUAG
rnacentral:rRNA from 1 species